CAUAAGAAACCGAGCACCAGUCAUUCCACACACAACCACUGAUCAGCUCUGAAACCUAGAGCUGCUUUAGGCCCUGGGGACUCGGCAGGGGCCUCAGAGACCAGGUCCUGGAGCAAGUUCCAGUGGGUGACACAGGCCAAGACAAACACCACGUUAUGCUAUGGCAUGUGGUAUAAUGAGUUCUUUAGGGAAAGUAAGGGGUCAAGAGGAGAAAGAGUGACAACUCUUGGUUUAGACUAAUGCUCAAGAGAGGCCACCCCUGAAUGAAGCCAGGGGACCAGCCAGGGAGGUGCCUUGGCAGGAGUGUUCCCAGCAGGAGGAACGGCAAUGCAAAGGCCCUGGGCUGGGAUGUGCCUGACGAAUGGCAGGAACAGCAAGGAGGCUGGUGUGGCCAGAUCCAAGGAAGUGGGGUUGGGACAGGAGAGGGGCCAGCUGGACCCUGGGGGCCUUGCACAUCAUGCUGAGCACCUUCAUCUUGUUCCAAGUUUUCAAAUGUACCUGAAGGACAUCAUGUCCACACACCCAACUCCUUCUCACCUCCUACAUAUGUAUCUCUGCAACUAGGAUCCAACUAGUCAGACAGAAAGAGCUAGAUGGCUCAGCAUGUGAAGAGACAGCACGGUACCAGCCCAGCCAGGUGGAUGGACAUUUGAGCAGUUCUGGUUCUUCUUUCACAAACAUGACCCCUGUGUGUGCCCCGUGUACACACCAGCUCUUCUGGAGGGCACACACCCUGACCUGGGACCUCAGGGACAGAGGGGAUCUAUGUUCUGGUUACUGUGAGCUGCAGCCAGCUCUGCAGAGCAGUUAGACUAAUUCACUGCCCAGCGACAAGCCACGGUCCCAUCCCCCACGUCUGCACCCUUCUGGGGAUGGUAGACGCUCAGAAGCUGUGGUCCCCAGCUGUGGUCCCCAGCGGUGCGCAUCUCCUCGGUGCAGCAUUGAGAACUCAGGUAAAUCACACGGGCGUCACUCGGCGGUCACUAAACCGUGCCACCCCGGUCCCCACUCUGCCCUUGCCUCGUGUGACCCUGGGGUCUGAGCCUCAGUGUCCCCGUGACGUCACUCGGAGGUCCCUGAGCCCAUUCCGCUGUCCUCUCCCAACUCCUCCGGAUCUGCGCGCCUCAGAACCCCUCUCUGCCCUUCUAGGGAGAAGACAGAGACCCCUGGCGGCUGCGGAGGGUGCUUACUGUAACAGCUGUCUGAUGAGCUGAGAAACAUCUGCCAUAGGAAACAGAGAUGGAGGAUGGAUUUGCAGAUAACGUACGUGGAGUUCAGGAUUAUCCUGUCUGCAGUCUUCCAGAUGUUUGGUUGGUAACAUUAAAGAGACCUUCCUCCAAUGCCUGAAAUGCCCUUCAUAGUGUCCUUUACAUUACAAGUCACAUGAAGGUGAGCACAAGAUUUUUACUCUGAGUCUUUGAUUUUUUUGCUUUACAGGGAUUAGCAUACAUGUUCCUGAAAAUUAAAAAAUCUGGAGAUAGAGGUAAGCAUCUGAAUUAGUUUUCUAUUGCUGCAUAUUAAUGGAUUACAAAAACAGUGGUUUAAAACAACACACGUUUGUUAUCUCACAUUUCUGUAGGUAAGAAGUCUGCAGCAACAAAGCUGGGUUCUCUGCUCAGCGUCUCACAAGCUUGAAAUCAGUUGUCAGCUGGCUGCGUUUUCACCAAAUGCUCAGGCUCCUCUUCCAAGCUCACCAGUUAUUUGGCAGAAUUCAUCUACCUGUGGUUGUAGGACUGAGGUUCCUAUUUCUUCUGCUGGCUGUCAGCCAGGGGCCACUCUCUGCUUGUAGAGGCAGCUUUUAUUUUUUCUUAUGAGGCCUUCUCCAUCAUCAAACCAGUAACAGUGCAUGGAGUCCGUCUCAUGCUUGACUGUCUCUGAUUUUGUCUUCUCCUCUUGGCCAGAGGAAGCUCUGGUCUUUAAGGAGUCGUGUGAUUAGAUCUGGCCCACCCACAUGACAUACCCAUCUUAAAGUCAGUGAUGCCCUAGAACAACACAAUCAGAGGUCGGUGACUCAUCACAUCAGCAAGGUCCAGGGAUUUGGCUCUUGUGGAGGCCCUGGGGAGACGGGGUGAGCGAGGCCGACAGAGUGCCUGCUCUCAGGAAGGAGACCUGCUGUCACAGGAGCCAGAUGCUUCACAGAAGAUCACAGAAGUGCACUUUAUUUGUGAGUAUGGAGCGUGAGCUGAGCCCACACACUGAAAACACAGAACUGAGGGAGCAGAUGGAAGAAAGAAAUUCAGCAGGUUUAAUGUAUGAGAAAAACCCAAAGAAGGAUCAGGUAACGUGGAGCAGAGUUUGCCAAAGGAGGUGAGAAUAAGGACAAGGUGAGUCAGAAAGGUCAAGGGAAACUGAGGAACACACACAGCAUCAUCCAGCUCCUCAGGGUGCAACCUGAGCUAAGCAGAGAGGUCUGUGAGAGUAACUGACUCCACAGUGAACCUGUGCACAUGCCAAAGAAGUCCAUAGAAUGGAUCAGGGUUGGUUUCUACUGCUGAGAAGCACCAAUUUCCACAGAAGGAGGAUGUGACCAUGAGGCUCUGUCCCAGACCCCCAGCCUUAACCUUGGAGCUGCCCUCCAACUAGUUGUGGGCUUAGAGGGAUAAACGGCAUUUGGAGAAGGGUUGGAGAUGUCCUUUCUCACCUUAAACAGUUGUGCCCUAAGGUCAGGAAGGGCCAGGGUAAGGGGACCCUUGCAUCUGAAGUGGUGAUACUAAUAAUAUUCUUCUGCAUUUACAUUUAAGAAAGGCUUUACAAACAAUAUCUCAAGUAUUUUUUGAGUGCUUAAUUUUCCUCAUGCCGCGUGAAGAACUUGGAGUUCAGAUUACCAACAAGACUUCCCUGAGGAAAUCAAAGCAGUGAGAGGAAGAAUGCAAACAGCUUCAACAAAACAUGGUGUUGUGGCAGCCCAGAAGAUGGAAGGGUAGGCCGAGGACAUCUCUUCCUAAUGACAGAAUGAACCAUUGAGAGGAUUCCCUGAGGACAGUCCCAUCUUCAUCAGAGCUCAGCACAGGGAAUACAAUAUUCUAAUUAAAGAUCAGGAACAACAGCUGAUCUGGUUAUGGCAGAGAUUACAGGAAGGGAGAGACAUCUGGGUCCUACUCAAUCAGCAUAUCAAGGACCUCCUCACCGACAAUGACCUUGACAAAUACCAGAGUCUAAGCUUCAGAGAGCAACUAGCUGAGGGACACACGCAGGCAGAGAGCAUCAUCUGCAAGCUUAGCCCAGAAAAUCAUGAAGACAAGGAAGAUGAAUAAGCAUAAGAAACACUCACCCCCAGGUAACACUGAAUCAUCAGGAGCCAGUCAUGGGUGGGCAGAAUAUGGAGAGGGUCUCAGAAGGAACAGUAAUGAGGGCAUUGUGAUAGCUGUGUGAGUUUCCAUUUCUUAAUCCCUCUCAGGUUGGUAACCUGGAGUCAGUUUCCCAAGAUGAACUAACCAAACUCAGGGGUUCCUGCAAUCAGCUGUUCUCUCCUCUGUGGUUGAAACCAGGGUGGGCUGCAUAUCUACUGUGUGCCUGUUUGGUGCCAGCAUGUUGCCAACAUUUGGAUAUAUGAGAAGAAACUGAAACAAAUUCAGUUUAUAUCAAAGCAUUGAGAAAACCGUCCUUGAAAGCAGAGUAUCUGAGAGUCUAUAACACAGCAAGGGCUAUAUUCACUUCAACACCGCCUAUAAAAUUCUGUACAAUGUACUCAAAAUGGUUGAAGCCACUGUUUUAGUCCUCUGUGUGGGCUGGGAGUCAUGGCUGUGGCCCACAGGGAGCGUUCAGCCACCUCCAUCCUUGGCUGGUGAUGUGGCAAUGCCCUGAGCAUCUGCUGCUCUCGCCCUCUCUUUCCCCCUCCCUCUUUCACUCUUUGUUAAACCUCGGCAGCCACACGUUGCUCCUCAUGUAGGAGAAUAGUGUUUUCCUCUCAAGCUGACUGCCUCUUUGCUUCUGUGGCCGCUUUCUACACCUGCCAUCAUAACCAGCUAGGACACCAUGGUGUCUGAUCCUCUUAGUUUAAUCUUCUGUUACCCUCUUCCACCUGGCAUAGCAAGGAGCCGCAGAAAUUUGAAAAGAAAGAAGUCCUGCAGGACUCACAGGAUGAAUGUGCUUUGCCCUCUUCAAUUUGCUAAGAAGGGUCUGACUGGGACCAGCCUUACAAUGAUGGUAAACUGACAUCUGAUGAACAGGAAGUUGGCUCUGCUCUGGAUGUAGGCAGUGAACACUAUCAUCCUAAUGGGGAUGAAACUCCAACUCAUCUCCUAGGUAGCCUCCAUAUUCUUUGUUCCCCACAGCCUGUCUAGAUGGUGAGAUUUAAUCUCCGUAGGCAGACCCUAUACUUACAUACUGGUUGGAAAGGCUAUAGGAUUGACUUUGAAAUAAGACAGUUCAUGAAUCAGUGAAAUUUGCUCAAUUCUUAGUCUAAGACCACAACUCUAUCAUGUUUGUCCCACUGGCCUCUCACUGGACCCAAGGGGGUCCUGCCAGACACCUGUACCUCUAUAGCUUGGUUAUAGAAGGUGACUUUCAGGCCUCCUAAUUUUGAGUAAAUCUCUUAUCUUGCAUGCAAUGCUCUAAUUUUUAUCCUUGAGCAAUGUCCCUUGAGUUUUUAUGCCUGACCAAGGAUGUUGGCAGCAUUAGCUAUAUCUUUGGAGAUGACAGUAGCCUGGUUCACUUCUCUCAACCCAGAGUCUAUCUCCUUUGAUUUGUCUUGUCUUAUCUCAUCUCAGGAGUCAUAUGAGUAGCAGAGCAUAAGCGCCACUGGCUUACUUUGUAUGUUUCUCUGAACAAGGCAGGGCACUGGAACUUCCCUACCCGAUGAAUGGCCACUGUUUCUCUACAGCAUUGAAGAUUCUUUUGAUUUGACGGUGUGUAGAUUCCACUCAUCAGUCUAAUCUCAAUGUAUAGUUCUGCUAAACCAUUAACAGCUUUUCAGAUAGAAAAAGCAUGAAUAUUGAGGCAAACCUCUAGGAAGCUGGUAGGUAGUUCCCUAGGAUUUCUGAAGAAAAGGAUAUGUUUAAGCAUUUGCACAGACUCAGGACAUAGGAUACUCUGAUGAUGACCUCUCAUACCAGGCAGAUUUGUCCAAUGGCUCAAGAGAGCCAACUGGUGACUUCUUACAAGGCCUUACCUAAUACUUCCUGGAAUAUUUCGUUCACAACAGCCUGUUAUUACAUUGCAUAUAUUUAUGUCCCUGUGCUAGAAUUGGACACAGGAUCAGGCAUUUGUGAAAGAGGGCCUGCUGAAUGUAACCAUCCUUCUCUUAAUUUAUUUGCAGAAAACCAAAAUGAUCAGGAGGAGGGGAAAGGACAAGAGUCAACUGAGUAACUGUGGGCUGUUAAUUCAAUGGUGACAUCUGCAGACCUCAGAUUCAGGGAAAAGCAGAAAGUGCUGAAUAUAUAUCAUCCAUUCUGCCAACCAUCAAUUACCCUUUUUCAUAAUGUUUUCUGUUUCAUUGUGGUACUUGUAUUGUUCCCACUCAUUAUUAACUACCCAAGUUUUGUAACCCAUAGCCAGUUGACCUGGGUGAACUAAGAAGUCACAGGGAUUUUCUCCACUCACGUGUUCUCUUCUGUGUGGUUUACAGAGUGAGAUGUGCUAGCAUUUGCAUGAAUUUCAUAGCAAGAAAUUUAAGGAGACAAAAAUAUUAUUAUAUCACGCCACAAUAUUGAGAGAAACGGGCCUUGAUAGCAUGAGAUUUCUGGGAUACUAGAGUGCCCCAAAAGCUGUAUGCACUUGGCCACUACACGUAAAAUUCAAUGCAACUUAAAUGAAAGAGGGAAAGCCACUGUUACAUGACUCUGUAUAUUGUGAGUCACAACUGAAUGGUACAGAGAUAAUUCAGCCUCGUUCCUCAUCAGCCUGUCGUUUGGACACUGUACUGAGCACCUACUGUCCUUUCUAUAUCCUGCCCUUGUGACAAAUGCACUCUGUCCCACAAAAAAUAGAGGAGUUUUCCCCUCUUUAAUAGGUCAGCCUCUGUGCUUUCUUGAGCACUCCCUAUGCCUUUCAUCAAAACCAAAUAAGACUCUAUGAUAUCUGAUCCCUCUUGGAUUAAUCAUUAGUCCUCUCUACGCCACCAGGCUCUGCGGGGAGCAGCCAGAGAACGUAGAGCAUAACAUACCACAGGACCCACUGGAUGAAUACUAUUUGACUUCUUCAGAUCUUCCCAGCCUGCCCAACCCCUAUCGUCCUUCGAGGAACUAGAAGUCUGUUUCGCUCUAGAGGAAAACAUACUGACCUUGAGGAGCAGGAAGACCAAGUCCGCAUAUGUUCCAGCCCUCCCGACCCCACCAGGCUCAGCAGGGAGCUGCCAGUGGUAGAAGAGAAUGAUGUUAGCUCAGGGCUAAUCAUCCUCAAAAAAAA